ensembl:misc_RNA Metazoa_SRP Metazoan signal recognition particle RNA
GCUGGGCAUGGUGGCACAUGCCUGUAGUCCCAGCUACUCAGGAGGCCGAGGCAGGAGGAUUGCCUGAGCCCAGGAGGUCAAGGCUGCAGUGAGUUGUAAUCAUGUCACUGUACUCCAGCCUGGGCAACAGAGCAAGACUCUGUCUUAA